UCCGGGGCGGCCGCGGGCCUGCGGAGCGGCGCGGCCGAGGGGGCGCGCGGGGCGCGCGGCGCCAACGGUCACUGACGCAGGUAUGGUGUAUCUGAGUGUGGAAUCCUCUUCACCUGAAUAUCUUAGAGCUACAGAAUGGAGGGAGAACUCCUUUACACGUUGCAGGAAAUCUGAACAUGUGUCGUGGCACGUGAAGGCAUCAUAAAUGACAAAGUUAAUGAGCUGUACGUGGCAGGACUAGUGAGUGCUCUUCCAUGAAGUUACGAGCAAAGAGAGAAGGAUGUGA
rnacentral:lncRNA from 1 species